AGAUUGUUCUGUGCCCAGAUCUCUGAGGUUAGGCCGCUCCAGUUUUGCAGACAGCAUGCCCUCACUGAAAUGCCUUCAGUGGGGACUGGCACGUUCGCCGCAUUCCAGGUGUCCUUAUACCCUACACCAUGGCCUGACUGAGGGCAACUGGAUAACCUGCUGCCAGGGCUCAGUGCUAUUGAAUGCUGCUCCGAAACUGGCUGCGUGCAUAUCUGUAUUCAAAUUCUGGACUACCAAGUAUCAGUUUACUGUUUGGCACUUCCAAGAAAGAUCUUUGCGAUGAAGCAGGUCUCCGAGAAUUGAACAGAGACGGUUAGUGUGUUAUACACUGAAAAGAACCAAGAGCUGAAGACAGGAAAGGCAGGAAAUUGUGGAUUGGACAGGACUCAUUUGCUGGUUGUGUUGCCAGAGCUCAGCAGCACAUUUAAAGGGGUCGAAGAAGUGAGCCUCUGCAAAUUCUGUGCCGUCAGGACUGUCAUGACACAUGUGAGAGAGAUUUCAUAGACACGCAUCUUAUUGGUGGUAACCCUGUCCUGGACUUUGUAUGGAAUGUAACUACUAGUGAAUUUGACUCAAGGGCUGAAACAAUAAAGUGCGAAGUGAAAGAUCUGAUACUGCAGACCCAAGUUGGAAAGCCUGUGAGAUUGCAGGUGAUACCAUGCUUGGCAGGAAGUAAUGUGAAUGCCUGAUAAAUACAUGAGGCAUAUGUUUGUAUCAACUACUUUUGUUUGAAGUAUGCUUCAAAUGAUUAUGAUUAUGAUUAAUCCUUGUUUAAAUUAUGUUGAUUUUGAUUACCCAAAAUUGUUUUAUUACAGUAAAGGUUUCAGAAAUGA